rnacentral:rRNA from 1 species
UACGUAGGGUCCGAGCGUUGUCCGGAGUUACUGGGCGUAAAGCGCGCGCAGGCGGCGGUGCUGGCCCGGCGUGAAAGCCCCCGGCUCAACCGGGGGAGGGUCGUCGGGGACCGCACCGCUUGAGGGCGGUAGGGGCUGGUGGAAUGCCUGGUGUAGUGGUGAAAUGCGUAGAGAUCAGGCGGAACACCCGUGGCGAAGGCGGCCAGCUGGGCCGUCCCUGACGUUGAGGCGCGAAGGCGUGGGGAGCGAACGGG